rnacentral:tRNA from 1 species
GGGUAGGUGGCCGAGUGGACAAUGGCAGCAGACUGUAAAUUUGCCGGGCUACGCCCUACGCGUGUUCGAAUCACGCCCUGCCCACCA